rnacentral:lncRNA from 1 species
CACCACGUGGUUUUGAAAACUGGCAGGGUCCAGUAUGGUUAGAAUGUUGGGUAUGGAGGGCAAGAGGCAAGAGAGAAAGAUGGAAAGGUCAGCUGGGCCCAGCUGAAGGGCCCUAUAAGGCCAGGCUAUGGUGUGCGCAUCUCAUCUUGGAGGCAGAGGAGCCAUGGAUCUAAGCGGAGAAACACACAAGGCAGCCGCGAAGUUUACUGUCCAUGCAAGGACCCACUUGAGAGCGGAUGGCCGUGCCAACCAGAUGGAACGCCCGGACAGCAGGUGUAAACCAGGACAUCCUGGCAAACAGGUGUUGCUGCUGGCCUUCCUGCACUGGAUGCUCACAGAGAGAGGAGAGAUGUUUCUAACAAAAAGAGGGUGCCCCGUAUUCUCAGUUUGUUGUCAAAUUUCCCCCGAUGGAGCUCACCACAAGUUUCUGCACAGUUGAAAGAAAUAUGAGGGCACCUUCCCUAGGACACCCAACAUACUUCUCUGGACAGCAAAUGCCCCGUGUUCCAGCAAAGGUGCUAUGAACACAACAAAUCUAUGCCUUUUUAUAUGUACUUUUUAUACACUAGACACUAUGCUAAAUGCUCUAUAUAUGUUGUCUCAUUUGAUCUUACUUUAGUGAGGUAGGUACUACCAUUGUUCCUAUUCUACAGGUGAGGACACAGAUGUGCAGAGACCCAGCACCUCGACCCUCUGAUCUCAAGGUGAGAGGGUGGAGGCAGCUCACUCUGCUCUUCAGAUUUAACGGGACUUUUCACUGCAUUGCAGUCACCAACCCUGACUGUUGUCCUCCAGUCUCGUCAAGCGCCCACUGGGUCAUCCAGGCAACCAUUCUCCAGCAGAAAUCCCUCCUGUGCCUGAUGUGUAGGUGGACAUUAGGCCUCACUGAAUUACAUGGGCUGAUGGCGCUCAGUUUUCUUUUAGUUACAAUGCAAUUCAAAAUGUGAAUAAAGGCUCAAGAAAUAGGAAAUGCGGUCUGAACAAUAACGAAAGCUAAGAUAUUGAGUAAUAUCGCCAUGCUCUGUUCUGUGAGGACUCGGUCCUCAUAACAACCCCAAGAGGUAGGGACUAUUAUUAUUCCCAUUUUAUAGGCACAGACAGGUUAAGUAACUUGCACAAGAUUGCACAGCUCAUAAGUGGAGAAGCCAGCAUUUGAAUCCAGCAAUAGGGUAGGUCUGUUUCUCGCAAAUGCCAAAUACAGCAAGACUUUCAAUCUUCCUGUAUGCUUCUUUCUUAUCGCACUUUAGAAAAGAAUUCACCAAAAAUACCAGAAUUGAAAUCAGGCAUGAGCAGUAGUUCAAACGAGAGGUUCACAUCCAAUGAGUUCUACUCGUAGGCAGAGGGGAAAGGAAAAACUAAAAAGACUGAAAAUAUAAAGAAGAGAAAGGAAAGUGCUGGGGCCGGCCCCACGGUGCAGCGUUAAGUACGCACGUUCCACUUCGGCAACCCGGGGUUUGCCGGUUUGGAUCCCGGGUGUGGACAUGGCACCGCUUGGCAUGCCGUACUGUGGUAGGCGUCCCACAUAUAAAGUAGAGGAAGAUGGGCACGGAUGUUAGCUCAGGGCCAGUCUUCCUCAGAGAGAAGAGGAGGAUUGGCAGCAGUUAGCUCAGGGCUAAUCUUCCUCAAAAAAAACAAAAGAAGUAGUGGCAAAUUAAGCCCAUUAAGUCACAGGCUGCGAAGAGACAAGGAAUCUUUAUUAAUCACCAGCAGAGGACAUGACCUAGGAGACUCUGCCAGGAGAAAGGCAGUCAGAGCACCCACGGUUCUCCGGGUGGGGGCUCGGAGCCAGUGGGUUUGCACUAGCGUGGUUACUGCAUCCUGCACUCCUAGAAUGACUCACGCAGACCAUGGCGCCUCGAGAACUAGGGGUUACAGACAGUACCGAAUCACAGUCCCGGGGAAAGGAGUUUGUCCGUUUCCACACACAUCUGCACCUGACCCAUACGUCUAUCUUGUCCAAGGAUCCCCAAGGGAGGGCAUCCCACCAACUUUCCUUGCCAUUCUAUGCCAACAAUCACCAUUUUUUUCUUUAUGUUUAUCCUUAUUAGUGUCCAUUCCUUCUUCGGCUCUGUUUGUGGAGAGAUAGCUAAGGUGGUUUGCAUUUUCCUGUGGCAAGCACAUCUCAGAAAGUCCAAAUGGCACAGUUUCCCUCCGUUAAUUUUCACUUAGAUCUUAACCUUCUCAUUUUAUUUCACUUGGACUCUGGAUAGCCAAGUAGAAAUAAUGCUUGGCGGCCUUUGGGCAGGACACCGGCUGCUUCUCCACCCCUUCUCCUGUGGUUUAGUGAACCACACAGUCCGGUUCUGCAAUAUCCUUGUUUCUGGACUUCUAACCUCCUUCCCAGCAGGGAGAUGAUUCAUGCUAAAAGCCACGUCUUACACCAAGGCUUACUGGGCACACCAAAUGCUCAUUCAAAUGGCAACAUCUGUCCUUGGAACCCAAGGUUAAAUUUAGUUAAAGACGUCCCAACUCUGCCCCCAGCCCUCUUCAGUUCCAUCCGCUUUACUUUCCUGAAGAUGUGACGAGAAAGAUUUCAGAAGUGAGCACGACGGUGCGUCCCAGUUCUCUGGGCAGAGCUGCACCCGGCGCUGGGACUCUAUGAUGCUCUGAAGGAGGCAUGACCGUGCAGUGGGCUUACAACAAACUCACCGUUGGCAGAAGCUUCCAUGUCACCACUUUGGCCCUGGUAAAAGCAGAUUUCACGGCAGCACAGGGACGGGCUACAGUGGGAGGUGAGGAGGCAGUAAGGAGAACUUUCUUUAAUGUUCUCCAGAUCUGUCAAACCAAGCUUUGCUCUGUGCUGCCAUGCCACCCAGACGUCUGGGUGGUAACUCAGACUUUGAAGUUGUCACUACUCCUAGCUUGAUGGCUUGGAGGAGGCCCAGGAACUACAGGAACUUAAGGCUCAUACAAUCACUUGUGCGGGACCUGCGUUCUCAGCCUCCGCCCACUCAGCCUGCCAGCCGCCCAGGUCACAGCCAAGUCCGAUUGCUGCCCAUGCCUCCUGGAAAAAGCAAGAAACCCGCUGGGCAGACACUUGUCGAGCUGCAGUGGUUGAAACUGGCGGGAGCUGAGUGCAGGGAGAGGGUGAGAAAAGAGGCGGGGGCUGGGCGUUUGCACAAGUUUAGGGUGGAGCCGUGGAGUGAGGCACUGUGGCGCAGGCUGGAAAGGUACAGAGGACACUUCCGUAGAGCAUGUUGUGGACUGUGUCUAUGGAUCCCCUUUGAUUUGGGGGGACAUGAAUAAAACAUUGGCGUUCUUUUGAAAUUCCCUUUGUUUGUAGGACUGUUUAUUUGGCUGCUCCACGAGGGGCCAGGCUGUAUAGAGACCACACAUGUGAGUGGAGGACAGGCCCACUCAUAUCAACAGGAUGAGUUUGAAAUUCUUGCUUCGGGCCAUAUGGAGUGGGAAACUGAGGCACGAGGCGGGAAGUUAUGGCCUGACUCCCAGCAGCUGAGCUGAACCCGGACAGCGGUCUGCUUCCUUGCUCUGCUGUGCUCCCCUCUGCAUCAGGUGGCCUCGCCCAACACAGGACAACGACCAGCUUGGACCCCCCAGAGGCUUCCCAGAGUGGGUGGGGGCUGGAUUGGGGCCCACAGGUGUGUUCCCUGACUCGGGGGGCCUGCGCAGACCCCACUGUCUGCCCUCCUAGGCUUCAGCAGAGAGACUUGCCCUUUUAUCUUGUUCACUUGCUGCCAAUCACUCUUCAUCAGAGCCCUUUCCUUCAGGCUGCGGCCGAGGAAUUGUUACAUCUCCUAGAUUUUAAAAAAUGUAGGUUGCUUUUUCUUAAAAAAAAAAUUGUCUCUGAAAUAAGCUCACAAGCCCUUUCCAUAUUUUUACAAAGCUGUUAGCAAAUCCUCAAGGAAGGAUGUUGUCGUCAGCUUCAGGUAGGUGCGUUAGGAGACAGCCUGGGGCAGCACUGCGGCUCGGUGCGGGGAGGAGGGCAGGCUGAAAUCCAAGGGAGCUGGAACACCCACCAUUCCCCACCACUGCCAAGAUGGAGCCCACCCGGGGAGGCAGCAGGAUACAGGGCCAAGGAAACCCCCAACACCAGCUAACCCCAUGGGGGGUGCAGGGGAGCCUGAGAGAAGGGCUGGAUGCCAGUGGGAAGUCUUAAGGAAAGGGUUUCAUGUGCCUCAAAGGACCCAAUCAACAGAAUGAAAAGGCAACCCACGGAGGGAGAGAAAAUAUUUGCAAAUCACCUAUCUGGUAAGGGACUAACAUUCAGAAUAUAUAAAGAACACUUACAACUCAACAACAAAAAAACAAGCAACUUGAAUAAAAAAUGGGCAAAGGACUACAAUAGACAUUUCUCCAAAUGACGUACCAACGCCAACAUGCACAAGAAAAAGUGUUUAAUUCACUAAUAACCAGGGAAAUGCAAAUCAAAACCACAAUGUGCUGUCACUUCACACCCAUUAGAGUAGCUAUUAUAAAAAACAAAAAAAAAGAAAAACCUUCAAUAAACCAGAAAAUAACAAGUGUGGGAAAAUAACUUGCUGGCGGGAAUGGAAGAUGGUACAGCCACUGUGGGAAACAGUAUAGCAGUUUCUCAAAAUAUUAAACAUAGAAUGACCAUGUGAUCCUGCAAUUCCACUUCUGGGCAUAUACAUGAAAUAAUUGAAAGGAGGAACUCAAACAAAUAUCUGUACACCCAUGUUCAUAGCAGCAUUGUCCACAAUAGCCAAAAGGUGGAAACAACCUAAAUGUCCAUUGAUGAUAAAUGGAUAAACAAAAUGUGGUAUAUCCAUACAAUGAAAUAUCGUCCAGCCUUAAAAAGGAAGGAAAUUCUGACACAUGCUACAACAUAGAUGAGCCUUGAAAACAUACGUUAAUUGAAAUAAGCCAGAUGCAGAAAGUCGAAUACUGUAUGAUUCCACUAAGGUGAGGUACCUAGACUAGUCAGAUUCAUGGAGACAGAAAGUAAAAUGGUGGUUGCCAGGGCCUGGGGGAGGAGGGGGAAAUGGGGGUUACU